CGGGGUGUAGCUCAGUUGGUUAGAGUUCUCGUCUGGGGGGCGAGAGGUCGGACGUUCGAGUCGUCUCACCCCGA
rnacentral:tRNA from 1 species